rnacentral:tRNA from 1 species
AUGAUAGAAGACAAAGUGGUCGCGUCAUUUAAUUUGGGAUUAAAAUAAGUUGGUUCGAUUCCAACCUAUCAUA